CCCUUUGGUGCAGACCCUUUCCCUCACCCCCAGCUGCCCUCCCCUGACAGCUGCAUGCCCUUCCCUCGGGCCCUGUUCCCACCCGCCACCGCACAUGGAGCUGCGACUGUGGUACAUGCUGAGGAAGAAGGACUUGGAAGGUCCUGAGAACAGACACUGCUUCGGCGGCCAGAUUCUUGUAGAAGCAGUGACUGCGUUCCCUCAGAUGAGCGCCCCCAGCUGCACAGCCCAGAAGACCUUGACUUUCUAACCAUGUGAAAAGUCGUCCCCCUCCUGCUUGUAAGCUCCGUUCAAGUUCUGGAAGGCUGCAGUGAUGUCUCCAUGGAGCCUUCUCUAAGGAACUGAGGACCCUGGAAGGAAAGGAGAAAUACAGGAUCUGAUGGUUUUAGUGAGAGUGCUUGGUGAGAUGCAGGAUGAGGGUUUGUGUUCUGGUCCUGUGCCAGGAACAAUGCAAGCAAUGGCAGUCAGUCUUUGUACUUUCCUAUGAAGGUCAUGAUGCAAGUAAGCACAGAAGAAAAAUUCCUGAGAAUGUGUAAAUGAUUUUGAAGUUUUAGAAGCUUUUUGAAUCAGGUAACAGUUUCCAAUGUGCAAGUUAGGCUGAAAUUAAGAUACCAUACUUGAUUCUAAGAAGUUACCCAAGAACAUUCAACAGCUGGACACAACCAAAAGGCAAAAGUAUUCCAGAAUGUAUGCAUGCUUUAUGACAAUCAGUGGCUGGGACAGAGAAGAGACCUUAUCCAUUCCCUCCCUGGAGAAGUCAGCACUGGAUGAAUUCUGCUGAGAGGCAGCAGCAACUUGCUGGCAAGUCAACUUCUGUGCAGCUGUAACUCUGCUGUGAUGUGUGUAACCUCCUCAAGUCAGAAGGAUGGGAAGGGCUGGAGUGACAGCCCAGAGGUGUUUCUAGAGGGACACUCCUGGGUAUCUGGCAGUAUUUCAGAGAUGGAGAGAGAGACACAUCCCAGGGAAAAGAAGCAGCUGGGGUUGUUGGACUCUUGACUCAACCUCAAAGUGACUGGAUUUUGAGGUGAUGUUAUAGGGAGCUUCUCAACAGUGUCUGAAGGAACAUGGUGGAAAAUAAAUGCAAAGCAAGUGCUAGAGAAGGGGCCAUCACCAUCUCUGUUAUUACCUGGCAAGUAUUUUAUAGGUAAUUCCUAUAGAGGAAUUAUGGAGAACAAAAUGCACAACAAAACGGGGUUCACAUCUGACCUGUAAUUUUAUAAAACCUUUGCAAGUGCAUACAGUACCUCAAAAGGAGACUGUAAAUUUGACUGUAUGUUAAGCUGUGGGAAAUCUGAGUUCUUUCAGUGUCACUGUUGGGAGACUUUUAUCUAUCAAACAAUCCAAGUAUGCUCAGAUCAAGGCUGAAUCCCAGUCUGUUCCUCGGCUGCCAUCUGCUCCACUGUAAGAUAUGGUCCUGAGCAGUGCCUGUGUGUUUCUGUGUUGGAAGGAGAACAUAACACAUACAUGUAACAUGUUUAUAUCAUGAUUAUCUAUUUACCUGUAUUUGCAGUGAUGUUUGGAAAACUAUGAUUAUAGACCCAAUGUCAUAAGUUCGUAUUUCUGCUGUGAGAGAGUAUGCUCUUAUUUUUCAGGAAAGGCCAAUGCCUUGUCAAUGGAAGCACGUAAACUCCUUGGAGACACAUAGCGUGACACCCUGAAUGUUGAAGAAAGGUGCACAGGAAAAAGAAAAUGAAGAUUUGCUUUUUAUUAAGCUUCUUUAACUUCUGCUAAUGCCUUUCUGACAUCCUUAUGGUGAUGCGUGAGCAUUUCUUUUUAUUGAAAAAUAGAUAAGGUUGCUUAAGAGACUAAGUUUCCUUUAUUUCCUCCCUAUUCACACAUAUGCUAAACAGUAGCUAAUGUUUAAACAUCUCCUUAGCAAAAUGCUGAGUUCUUCUGUCACAGCUCUGUGAAGCAGCUUCUAUUCCUGUCAGGGAAUUCCAACAAGUCAGUAGCCUAAAAAUGCAUUUAAACUACUGUUGGUGAUGAGCCUUUUCCUCAGCUAUUCUGUUUCUACGUUAAGCCUGAGCUACUUAUUUCUGCAAUUCUUUUCAAGCUUAAAUCUUGCCAUGUCUGGAAACAACUGUGUUAACUUGCAGGAGGUUUGGAACAGGCUAAUGGCUAAAGAUGAGACAAUAAAAGAGAUACCACAAAAGCAGUGACCCUAUUAUGCAGAACAGUGUAAAUAUGAACUCAUUUUCCUCUAUUAAGAAAAAAAAGAAACAUUUUACUCAAGGAAGUAGAAUACAGUUUUCUUCUUAGUUAAGAUAACCUGGCAGGAAUCUGUUGGGGGCAGAAUAAAUGUUCCCUGUUCUGCAAAUGGUUAGUGAUUUUGGACACAGAUCCAAUUUAAAAAAAAAAAAUGCUAUUGGCCUUGGAGUGCAUAGGAAAGGAAAAACAGUCAAGAAGUAUCUACAGCAUAAAACUCUUACACACAUGCGUGCACAAAAAUGCAUAAGCAUGCCACUUGCAACACGGAGACAGGAAGCCAUAUGGCAUCCCUGGUUUCUCUUGCUCUCCCUGCCUACUGCAGAAGAUUGGUAUCUUUCACUGACCCUCUUGCAGAAGCAGAGUGCUGUGUUAACACAAAUGCCACAGAGCACACUGGCAUCCAAACAAGUUGGGAGGCUGAGCCAUUUUGCCUUCAGCAGCUGAAACCAUUCUGUAAGCAUUUCACAUAUAAUUAAACCUUCUUUUCCCAUCAGGUGAUCUGACCUCAGCAUAUAACUAUGCACGCCAGAACAAAAGAUGGUAAGGUAAGUCAAAUAAUGGAAUAGUGGGCAGAAACCUCCUAUUUAUAAAUAUGACAUUGCCUUGUCCAGAGAGGGAAACACUGGCUCUUCUCAGGAUCCUUGUUUCAUGCACUAUACGUCCCAUGCUUAUGUUCAUAAAUGUUUCCCUGUGAUCAGCCACCAUCUGCAGACCUAUCCAGCUGUGCUCCUGGCUGCCAGUCAUUCCCAUGUUUCUCAUAGAGAUCACACCAAGGACGUAUGCACUCAGUGUAGCUGGAGAAGUGCACUCUCCCUCAGCCACCUACUAUUUCACUGGAGCCUGUGGUUUGGCAUCAGCAACCACAGCACAGACAUUGUACUAUCACAGCAUUAAAUCUCGUCUAAUCAACACGACAAUGGUUCCAUCAGUCUGGGACAGCCAUCUUGCAGGCAGUAGUGAUGCCUCAUUCAUGAGCUGAUCCCCCUCUCUGGUUUAUUAUGGAACUGGAGGGUGAGAGCAAGCUCUUCACAGGGCUCCGUGAAGGCAGCUCUCCCCGUGCACUAACUGUAGCUGCUGCCCAUCACUCCUACUCUAGAUAUUGCUGUAAAUUCACAACUGUGGCACCAGAGACCUCAGCUGGCAAGGGCUGAGGCAAACAACAGCCGUCUCCGUUCUUCUAUGUCAGAGUGACUUCUUUGCCAAGAACUAUCACUGUCAAGUAAGGGUUAAGAAAAUGCACUGCUGAAAUGCCCUUCAUGGGCAGUGUGCAUCCCACUGCGAUAACAUCACAGCCCAAAACAGGAACAGUGCACUCAUUGGUGCAGGGUCUGUGCCUGGGCAGCAGCUGGAGAGGACACAUGGGAGAAAAUGUUGAACCAGAAGCGUUUUAUUUUUGGCAGUUUAAUAAUGGGCUAGGAACGUUUGUGAACAGGAGCUGAGGAAAGACAAACAUCUUUUCUGAGGGACAGUGAGACAGUUCCCUCAGUAGUUCAUGCUAGUGAGGCCUUGAAUCCUCACCAUCUUUCUAAAACUCCCGGCAUGGACUUACACUCACAAGCAUGAACCAAAUGUUUUCAGGCGAGCUUGCUUCACCUUGGUGUUUGCACUCAUAUUUUCAUCCAAAUGAGAGAGGGGGUCAGAGGCCUGCAGGAAGUCCAGCUUUGCAAGGUGCAUCAGCUGGGCAGGGGAGAAGGAGACAUGGAGGGGACCAACAAUGCAAAGGCCGUGCAAGGGUUUGGGGAAGAGGUAUGGGGAGCCUGCCACAGUGAGGGGGAGAUGGGAGGUCAUUAUGGGUUUUGCUGGUUGUGUUGCUCACAAAAUAUUCUUCUAGGACAUGUGAAAGGAAUGUGAAGGUGCAAGACAGCAGGAAUUAAUAUAUAAUCCGAAAUACUUUUCAAUUCCAAGUGUUUUAUAAACAUUAACAAAUCUUCAUGAGCCGUCGGAGAGGUAUUUAAGCCACAUUCCAUUGUUAUAGAUAAGAAGAUGAAAGCUCUGGCUUAAGUCCAAAGUUUUCAAAAGCACAAACUGCUUUUUAGAGCUCUGCUUGAUGCUCAGCACCAGAACUCCAAAGGGAUUGAUUUCACAUUUGCCAUCGCUGUCAAUGGGAUACUGAUUACUUCUACAAAACUAAGUUUUAACCUGCAUGCUCAAAAGCAGCUGAGAAUAGCUGCUGGAGGUUCAGGCUUCGUUGGCUUGUUGGUUUUCUCCAAUGUGUAUAAGGAGAUACUGCUUU